GACGAACGCUGGCGGCGUGCUUAACACAUGCAAGUCGAACGGAAAGGCCCUGCUUUUGUGGGGUGCUCGAGUGGCGAACGGGUGAGUAACACGUGAGUAGCCUGCCCUUGACUUUGGGAUAACUUCAGGAAACUGGGGCUAAUACCGGAUAGGAGCUCCUGCUGCAUGGUGGGGGUUGGAAAGUUUCGGCGGUUGGGGAUGGACUCGCGGCUUAUCAGCUUGUUGGUGGGGUAGUGGCUUACCAAGGCCUUGACGGGUAGCCGGCCUGAGAGGGUGACCGGCCACAUUGGGACUGAGAUACGGCCCAGACUCCUACGGGAGGCAGCAGUGGGGAAUAUUGCACAAUGGGCGGAAGCCUGAUGCAGCAACGCCGCGUGCGGGAUGACGGCCUUCGGGUUGUAAACCGCUUUCGCCUGUGACGAAGCGUGAGUGACGGUAAUGGGUAAAGAAGCACCGGCUAACUACGUG
rnacentral:rRNA from 1 species